rnacentral:rRNA from 1 species
AGAGUUUGAUCCUGGCUCAGAUUGAACGCUGGCGGCAGGCCUAACACAUGCAAGUCGAACGGUAACAGGAAGAAGCUUGCUUCUUUGCUGACGAGUGGCGGACGGGUGAGUAAUGUCUGGGAAACUGCCUGAUGGAGGGGGAUAACUACUGGAAACGGUAGCUAAUACCGCAUAACGUCGCAAGACCAAAGAGGGGGACCUUCGGGCCUCUUGCCAUCGGAUGUGCCCAGAUGGGAUUAGCUAGUAGGUGGGGUAACGGCUCACCUAGGCGACGAUCCCUAGCUGGUCUGAGAGGAUGACCAGCCACACUGGAACUGAGACACGGUCCAGACUCCUACGGGAGGCAGCAGUGGGGAAUAUUGCACAAUGGGCGCAAGCCUGAUGCAGCCAUGCCGCGUGUAUGAAGAAGGCCUUCGGGUUGUAAAGUACUUUCAGCGGGGAGGAAGGGAGUAAAGUUAAUACCUUUGCUCAUUGACGUUACCCGCAGAAGAAGCACCGGCUAACUCCGUGCCAGCAGCCGCGGUAAUACGGAGGGUGCAAGCGUUAAUCGGAAUUACUGGGCGUAAAGCGCACGCAGGCGGUUUGUUAAGUCAGAUGUGAAAUCCCCGGGCUCGACCUGGGAACUGCAUCUGAUACUGGCAAGCUUGAGUCUCGUAGAGGGGGGUAGAAUUCCAGGUGUAGCGGUGAAUGCGUAGA